UAUUUUUGCAGUUUUACAUUUAUAUUAUGGGUAUAUGAUCUUCAGCUGUAAAUUGUUUUCAAAUUUUUUGUAAUAAGAAUGAAGUUUGUCCGUUAGUUUUUUUCCAUAUCUGAAUUAAUCAGUGUUGGCCGCGUACUAGUUGUCAUAUAUAAAUUUUAGUACUUCUUAUGAUGACAAUACAGCAGUUUACUCAAGGAAUGGAGACGCAUGGAUUCACUUAUCUCACACGUGGGAAAGUAUCAACAUCCUACAUUAAUGGACUGGAGGAGGUCGAGAAUAUUGCAGGUUUAAUGCAGUCUACGUAUAAUAGUUACUCAAAGUAAUUAAAAUUCAAUUGAUAGAAGUGCAUCAAAAAGAUGGUGUCAUGAAACCCUGACCAUUACAUAAAAUGGCAGUACGGCAGUUCACUUAAGGAAUUCUGACGCAUGGAUUCACUUAUCUCACACGUGGGAAAGUAUCAACAUCCUAUGUUGCAAAUGGACUAGAAGAUGCUGAGAAUAAUACGUGUUAUAUGCAAUAUGGCACUACGGCAGAUCACACAAGGCAUGCUGAGACAUGGAUUCACAUUUC
rnacentral:misc_RNA from 1 species